rnacentral:misc_RNA from 1 species
UUCGAGCGUCAUUAUAACCCUCAAGCCUAGCUUGGUGUUGGGGUCUGCUGUUACCGGCAGCCCUUAAAGCCAGUGGCGGGUGCCAUCUGGCUCUAAGCGUAGUAAUACUUCUCGCUAUAGAGUCCCGGUGGAUGCUUGCUAUUAACCCCUAAUUUUCUAUGGUUGACCUCGGAUCAGGUAGGGAUACCCGCUGAACUUAA